rnacentral:rRNA from 1 species
AGUGAACGCUGGCGGCGUGCUUAACACAUGCAAGUCGAACGAGAACGGGCUAUAGCUUGCUAUAGUUGUCAGCUAAGUGGCGCACGGGUGAGUAAUGUAUAGGUAAUAUGCCUCUUACUAAGGGAUAACAAAUGGAAACGUUUGCUAAUACCUUAUACUCCUUAUUAACAGAAGUUAAUAAGGGAAAGAUUUAUUGGUAAGAGAUUAGCCUGUAUUGUAUCAGUUAGUUGGUGGGGUAAUGGCUUACCAAGACUAUGACACAUAACUGGUUUGAGAAGAUGAUCAGUCACACUGGAACUGAAACACGGUCCAGACUCCUACAGGAGGCAGCAGUGGGGAAUAUUGCACAAUGGACGAAAGUCUGAUGCAGCAACGCCGCGUGGAGGAUGACACAUUUCGGUGCGUAAGCUCCUUUUAUAUGAGAAGAUAAUGACGGUAUUAUAUGAAUAAGCACCGGCUAACUCCGUGCCAGCCGCCGCGGUAA